rnacentral:rRNA from 1 species
AUUGAACGCUGGCGGCAGGCCUAACACAUGCAAGUCGCGCGAGCGGCGGCAGGGUGCGUAAUGUAUGGGGACUGCCCGAUAGCGGGGGAUCACUACUGGAAACGGUGGCUAAUACCGCCUCCUGUCGGAUACCCCAUAUGGGAUUAGCUAGUAGGUAAGGUAAUGGCCUACCUAGGCGACUAUCCCUAGCUGGUCUGAGAGGAUGAUCAGCCACACGGGGACUGAGACACGGCCCAGACUCCGACGGAGGCAGCAGUGGGGAAUAUUGGACAAUGGGCGCAAGCCUGAUGCAGCCAUGCCGCGUGUAUGAAGAAGGCCCUAGGGUUGUAAAGUACUUUCAGUCGGGAGGCGUUACCGACAGAAGAAGCACCGGCUAACUCCGUGCCAGCAGCCGCGGUAAUUC